rnacentral:lncRNA from 1 species
ACACUGGGAAGAAACCUUACAAGUGUCAAAUUUGUUUUAAGCAGUUUUCUCAGAAAGGUAACUUUGGAAGUCAUUUGAGAGUGCACACAGGAGAAAAACCUUAUAAGUGUGAAAUUUGUUUUAAGGGAUUUACUCAAGCAGGUGAUUUGAAAACACAUUUGAGAGUCCAUACUGGAGAAAAACCACACAAGUGUGAAAUUUGUUUAAAGCAGUUUACUACAUCAAGUUCUUUGAAAAGACAUUUGAGAGUGCACACUGGAGAAAAACCGUACAAGUGUGAAAUUUGUUUUAAGCAAUUUAUUCGAGCAGAUCAUUUUAAAACACAUUUGAGAAUACACACUAGAGAAAAACCUUACAAGUGUGAAAUUUGUGUUAAGCAAUUCAUUCAAGCGAUUGAUUUAAAAAGACAUUUGAGAGUGCAUACUGGAGAAAACUCUUAGUCCCGGUGUUCAUGAGCGGAAUGUUGCCAUCAGUCCGUUAGGAAAGUUUCCGUGCGACCAGCGACCGCCGUUGUGAUGUUAUGACUGGAGGUUCUAAUGGGGAGGUACACAUUAAGGUACGUUUUUACGGACGCUGCUACCUCCGUAAUCGCUGAAAGAUCUUCGCUGAACAUGGUGGCCCGAAUGAGACAUUUUCCACAAUUUUGGGGUAAUUUGAAAGCGUCUAGGGGAAUUUUUCUAAGCAGAAAUGGUUGGGGGGAAAAUUAUGGAGAAUUUUAAGGUUUCAUGGUAAAUUAAAUUUGCGAAUGUACAUAGAACUGUAUAUUAUACUCUCAUAUUAUAUAUUCGAAGACGA